rnacentral:sRNA from 1 species
GGGAGGGCAUGGCGGUGGCCGUGCCGGGCGCCAUCAUGGACGAGGACUACUACGGGAGCGCGGCCGAGUGGGGCGACGAGGCUGACGGCGGCCAGCAGGAGGAUGAUUCUGGAGAAGGAGAGGAUGAUGCGGAGGUUCAGCAAGAAUGCCUGCAUAAAUUUUCCACCCGGGAUUAUAUCAUGGAACCCUCCAUCUUCAACACUCUGAAGAGGUAUGUGAGAAAGGUGUCUGUAUUGGGAGGAGGCUGGGGGUAAUUUAGAGAAAGUUUUGUAAUACACCCAGAAGGUGCUAUGUAAAGCAAGAGUAAUGCGAACUGAACUAAAGGCUUCAAGGGGGGGUCCCCUCUGCCACUUUUUUUUUUUUUUUAAUUUUUUUAAGACAGAGUCUUGCUCUGUUGCAGUGGCACAAUCACCGCUCACUGCAGCUUCAGCCUCCUGGAAUCAAGCAGUUCUCCCACCUCAGCCUCGCAAGGUGGCCACCACAGGCGUCUGCCAUCAUGCCUGGCUAUUUUUGUUUUUGUUUUUUGGGAGAGACAGGGCUCCUUACGUUGCCCUGGCUGCUCUUGAACUCCUAGGCUCAAGUGAUUCUCCCACCUCUGCCUCCCAAAGUGCUGGGAUUACAGGUGUGCACUACUGCACCCAGCCCCCUCCGCUGCUUUAAAAAUUUUGAAACCUUAUUCUCUUCCUCCUUCCUUACCUUCCUGUUGUCCAUCAUUCCAUUCAUUCGGGUGUAAUUGCUGCUUUGUUACUUUCCCUAGGUAUUUUC